AAUGAACGCUGGCGGCGUGCUUAACACAUGCAAGUCGAACGCGAAAGUCCUUCGGGAUGAGUAAAGUGGCGAACGGGUGCAUAACGCGUAGGAAUCUACCCUUGGGUGAAGGAUACCCUAGAGAAAUUUAGGCUAAUACUGCAUAAGCCGGGAAACCGGGAAAGGUGGCCUCUUGCUACCGCACAAGGAUGAGCCUGCGUACUAUUAGUUAGUUGGUGGGGUAAAGGCUCACCAAGACGAAGAUGGUUAGCUGGCCUGAGAGGGUGUACAGCCACAAUGGGACUGAGAUACGGCCCAUACUCCUACGGGAGGCAGCAGUGGGGAAUAUUGGACAAUGGGCGAAAGCCUGAUCCAGCAAUGCCGCGUGAGUGAUGAAGGCCUUAGGGUUGUAAAGCUCUUUUACCCGGGAUGAUAAUGACAGUACCGGGAGAAUAAGCUCCGGCUAACUCCGUGCCAGCCGCCGCAGUAA
rnacentral:rRNA from 1 species